CCCAGCUUGCUGGGUGGAUUAGUGGCGAACGGGUGAGUAACACGUGAGUAACCUGCCCCUGACUCCGGGAUAAGCGUUGGAAACGACGUCUAAUACUGGAUAUGAUCACCGGCCGCAUGGUCUGGUGGUGGAAAGAUUUUUUGGUUGGGGAUGGACUCGCGGCCUAUCAGCUUGUUGGUGAGGUAAUGGCUCACCAAGGCGACGACGGGUAGCCGGCCUGAGAGGGUGACCGGCCACACUGGGACUGAGACACGGCCCAGACUCCUACGGGAGGCAGCAGUGGGGAAUAUUGCACAAUGGGCGAAAGCCUGAUGCAGCAACGCCGCGUGAGGGAUGACGGCCUUCGGGUUGUAAACCUCUUUUAGUAGGGAAGAAGCGAAAGUGACGGUACCUGCAGAAAAAGCACCGGCUAACUACGUGCCAGCAGCCGCGGUAAUACGUAGGGUGCAAGCGUUGUCCGGAAUUAUUGGGCGUAAAGAGCUCGUAGGCGGUUUGUCGCGUCUGCUGUGAAAUCCCGAGGCUCAACCUCGGGCUUGCAGUGGGUACGGGCAGACUAGAGUGCGGUAGGGGAGAUUGGAAUUCCUGGUGUAGCGGUGGAAUGCGCAGAUAUCAGGAGGAACACCGAUGGCGAAGGCAGAUCUCUGGGCCGUUACUGACGCUGAGGAGCGAAAGCGUGGGGAGCGAACAGGAUUAGAUACCCUGGUAGUCCACGCCGUAAACGUUGGGCGCUAGAUGUAGGGACCUUUCCA
rnacentral:rRNA from 1 species